GCUGGGCGUGGUGGUGGGCGCCUGUAAUCCCAGCUACUUGGGAGGCUGAGGCAGGAGAAUCGCUUGAAUUCAGGAGGUGUAGGUUGCAGUGAGCCAAGAUUGCGCCACUACACUCCAGCUUGGGUGACAGAGCGAGACCCUGUCUCCA
rnacentral:SRP_RNA from 1 species